rnacentral:rRNA from 1 species
CAACUUUCAGCAACGGAUCUCUUGGCUCUCGCAUCGAUGAAGAACGCAGCGAAAUGCGAUAAGUAAUGUGAAUUGCAUAAUUCAGUGAAUCAUCGAAUCUUUGAACGCACCUUGCGCUCCUUGGUAUUCCGAGGAGCAUGCCUGUUUGAGUGUCAUUA